CCUGGAAUAGUUCAGCGGUAGAACAAAAAUGCAGAUGAUAUCGGGUGUUUACGUCGGUGGUUCGAUCCCACCUUCCAGGAC
rnacentral:tRNA from 1 species